rnacentral:rRNA from 1 species
AACGAACGCUGGCGGCAGGCCUAACACAUGCAAGUCGAACGCUGUAGCAAUACAGAGUGGCAGACGGGUGAGUAACGCGUGGGAACGUGCCCUUUGGUUCGGAAUAACCCAGGGAAACUUGGGCUAAUACCGGAUACGUCCGUAAGGAGAAAGAUUUAUCGCCAAAGGAUCGGCCCGCGUCGGAUUAGCUAGUUGGUGAGGUAAAGGCUCACCAAGGCGACGAUCCGUAGCUGGUCUGAGAGGAUGACCAGCCACACUGGGACUGAGACACGGCCCAGACUCCUACGGGAGGCAGCAGUGAGGAAUAUUGGACAAUGGGCGCAAGCCUGAUCCAGCCAUGCCGCGUGAGUGAAGAAGGCCUUAGGGUUGUAAAGCUCUUUCAGCGGGGAAGAUAAUGACGGUACCCGCAGAAGAAGCCCCGGCUAACUCCGUGCCAGCAGCCGCAGUAAU